GCCAACGUCCAUACCACGUUGAAAACACCGGUUCUCGUCCGAUCUCCGAAGUUAAGCAACGUCGGGCGCGGUCAGUACUUGGAUGGGUGACCGCCUGGGAACACCGUGUGAUGUUGGCU
rfam:Papilio machaon contig28074, whole genome shotgun sequence.